AACUUUCAACAACGGAUCUCUUGGCUCUCGCAUCGAUGAAGAACG
rnacentral:rRNA from 1 species